UUGUUUCCGUCUUUGUAUACAAAAUAUGUCCCAAGGAAGAAAUAUAUUUUUUUUAUAUAUAACAUGUGAAGAAUUUAGGGGGACAACUGGAUUGUUAUGAGGAAAAUCUGCGUUAUGCGAGAUUAUUAAGGGGACAAGCUGAUUUUUUAUCUGGCAAAACUUUUUUAUAGGUCCAAAUGGAUAAAUUCGAGCACAGCGCAAGACAUUGCACGGAUUUAAGCAAAACUGAAGAUAUCAUACCCCGAGAUAAUGUCACUGAAGCCCAAUAAUGUCGAAAUGUUGACAUUCCUUAACAUGAGCUUCUGGAUCCGAAGAAACAUUGACUUGUAACAUGUAACCUGGAACUUUUUAUUUUUAGUUAGCUAUGAACAAGUUACAUUUUACUUGUGUGUCAUUGCUUAAGGAUGUAAAAAAUCAAUUAUUCAUAAAUAAUUAAUGUUUUUUCGUUAUGUGCAGUGCUUUAUUAUCCCAAGUAAUCCAAAUGGAUAAAUUCGAGCACAGACAUUGCACGGAUUUAAGCAAAUCUGAAGAAAUCAAAUCACGGAAAUGAGCUUCACUAAAGCCCAAGAAUGUCGAAAUGUUGACAUUCCUCAACAUGAGCUUCUGGAUCCGAAGAAACAUUGACUUGUAACUUAUAACCAGGAACUUUUUAUUUUUAGUUAGUUACGAAUUGUGUGACAUUGCUUAAGGACGUAAAAAAUCAAUUAUUCAUAAAUAAUUAAUGUUUUUUUCGUUAUGUGCAGUGCUUUAUUAUCCCAAGUUGUUACGGACCUGGUGUCUUGAUAGGGCAAGGCCGUCUGGUCAGUCCAGCUCAUGGUAGUGUUCUUUCCUGCCUUCAGUCCACACAACAGCCCAGCUGAUCAGCGAUCUCAGAUUGACGAAAUCAAAACGAAACAAAAUGUAAAAAAUAAUUGCUUGUGUUUGUCUGGGCUUAUAGGAAAAUUAAUAUAUUCUUUAAGAUAUUCAUACAUCUGUGCACUCCAUUAAGAAUUAUUUUAAAGAUUUAAUUUUACAUCUCCACUUGGUAUCAAAAAUGAUUCGAGACCUCCACAAAUUUGCAUAUUUUUCUCAUUAGGUUUUUUUUAUUUUGCUUUUUAUUUUAUGU